GUCGAACGCUGGCGGCGGGCCUAACACAUGCAAGUCGAACGAGUGGGAACGGGUGAGUAACACGUGGGUAAACUCCCCAUCAGAGGGGGAAACACUUGGAAACAGGUGCUAAACCCGCUACUGCCGGAUGGACUCGCGGCGCAUUAGCUGGUUGGUGUGGUAACGGCUCACCAAGGCCACGAUGCAUAGCCGACCUGAGAGGAUGAUCGGCCACACUGGGACUGAGACACGGCCCAGACUCCGACGGGAGGCAGCAGUAGGGAAGCUUCGGCAAUGGACGAAAGUCUGACCGAGCAACGCCGCGUGAGUGAAGAAGGUUUUCGGAUCGUAAAACUCUGUUGUUAGAGAAGCGGUAUCUAACCAGAAAGCCACGGCUAACUACGUGCCAGCAGCCGCGGUAAUAC
rnacentral:rRNA from 1 species